UGCAUAGUGGUGUAGUUGGUAGCACUGUUGCCUUGCAACAAAAAGGUCCUGGGUUCAACUUCCAGCCGGGGGUCUUUCUGCAU